CCUGAGAAACGGCUACCACAUCNNNGGAAGGCAGCAGGCGCGCAAAUUACCCACUCCCGGCACGGGGAGGUAGUGACGAAAAAUAACGAUACGGGACUCAUCCGAGGCCCCGUAAUCGGAAUGAGCACACUUUAAACGCUUUAACGAGUAUCCAUUGGAGGGCAAGUCUGGUGCCAGCAGCCGCGGUAAUUCCAGCUCCAAUAGCGUAUAUUAAAGUUGUUGCGGUUAAAAAGCUCGUAGUUGGACUUGUGUCCCACGCUGUCGGUUCACCGUUCGUCGGUGUUUAACUGGCAUGCCCGUGUGGACGUCCUGCCGGUGGAUGCGGUCGGCCGUGGGCCUCUGGUCUGCGCGUCGGCGGUCCGAUGGAAUCCUACCGCGGUGCUCUUCACCGAGUGUCGAGGUGGGCCGGCACGUUUACUUUGAACAAAUUAGAGUGCUYAAAGCAGGCAGUGGUUCGCCUGAAUAUUGUGUGCAUGGAAUAAUGGAAUAGGACCUCGGUUCUAUUUUGUUGGUUUUCGGAACUUGAGGUAAUGAUUAAUAGGGACAGACGGGGGCAUUCGUAUUGCGACGUUAGAGGUGAAAUUCUUGGACCGUCGCAAGACGAACCUAAGCGAAAGCAUUUGCCAUGAGUGUUUUCAUUAAUCAAGAACGAAAGUUAGAGGUUCGAAGGCGAUCAGAUACCGCCCUAGUUCUAACCAUAAACGAUGCCAGCUAGCGAUCCGCCGAAGUUCCUCCGAUGACUCGGCGGGCAGCUUCCGGGAAACCAAAGCUUUUGGGCUCCGGGGGAAGUAUGGUUGCAAAGCUCAAACUUAAAGGAAUUGACGGAAGGGCACCACCAGGAGUGGAGCCUGCGGCUUAAUUUGACUCAACACGGGAAACCUCACCAGGCCCGGACACCGGAAGGAUUGACAGAUUGAGAGCUCUUUCUUGAUUCGGUGGGUGGUGGUGCAUGGCCGUUCUUAGUUGGUGGAGCGAUUUGUCUGGUUAAUUUCCGAUAACGAACGAGACUC
rnacentral:rRNA from 1 species